GAGGUUGUGCCCUUGAGGCGUGGCUUCCGGAGCUAACGCGUUAAGUAGACCGCCUGGGGAGUACGGCCGCAAGGUUAAAACUCAAAUGAAUUGACGGGGGCCCGCACAAGCGGUGGAGCAUGUGGUUUAAUUCGAUGCAACGCGAAGAACCUUACCUGGUCUUGACAUCCACAGAACUUUCCAGAGAUGGAUUGGUGCCUUCGGGAACUGUGAGACAGGUGCUGCAUGGCUGUCGUCAGCUCGUGUUGUGAAAUGUUGGGUUAAGUCCCGCAACGAGCGCAACCCUUAUCCUUUGUUGCCAGCGGUCCGGCCGGGAACUCAAAGGAGACUGCCAGUGAUAAACUGGAGGAAGGUGGGGAUGACGUCAAGUCAUCAUGGCCCUUACGACCAGGGCUACACACGUGCUACAAUGGCGCAUACAAAGAGAAGCGACCUCGCGAGAGCAAGCGGACCUCAUAAAGUGCGUCGUAGUCCGGAUUGGAGUCUGCAACUCGACUCCAUGAAGUCGGAAUCGCUAGUAAUCGUGGAUCAGAAUGCCACGGUGAAUACGUUCCCGGGCCUUGUACACAC
rnacentral:rRNA from 1 species